UUGUUUCUGGAUAUUUUUUCUCCAAUUUAGUUGUGUAAGUUGUGUGUAUUAAGUAAUAAUUUUUUCAUUUUUAUUAUGUUGGUUAUAUGUUUUUUUAUUUUUAAACAUGUUGCUGUUACCGGACCUUUAAAACAAAUAAAUGAAAACUUGUAAAAAUAACUAUAAAAUGAGUGACAAUUAGUAUUUGAGCAUUAAUGGGUUUUAAACGAAUAUAUGUAUUUCUCAUAAGAAGACAAUAGCAUUGGCCUGUUGACAUUGAGCAUGUAAGUUAUUUUCAUAAGACAAGAGGAGUGAGCAUGGAGAUGUUGAUGCCGCAUUUGUGCCUGUUGGGAUUGUCUCUUGUAUCUCCUGAUGUGGCUGUGUUUGUUUCUCUUUUAUUUGAUGGGUAUUAUGUAAAC
rnacentral:lncRNA from 1 species